AUGCUGCUGCGCCCCGGCUCUCCGCGUCCCCCCCUCUCCGCGCUCCGCCGCGAUCCCCGAACGUGCGGAGGGAAGAAGGAGGGCGGGCGAGGGAGGCGCGGGGAGGAGGAGCGCGGGGGGAGGAGGAGGCCGGGAGGAGGAGGUGGCGACGGGGGAGGAGGAGGAGGAGGAGGAGGAGGAGGAGGAGGAGGAGGAGGACCGCGCCGCCGGCGGAAUGGGAAGUUUGACAAAUCGCUCCGGAGGCCCGCGGAGGAGGGGGCGGGGAGGCGCGGCGGCCCUGCCCCCCCGGCCCCCGCCCCCCGCCCCCCGCCCCGGCCCCGGCCCCGUCCCCGCCGCGGGGCGCGGGGCGCGGGGCGCGGGGCCGGGGCCCGGGCGGGAGGACGAGCGCGGGAGCGGCCCGGCCGCCGCGGCCCCCGCCCCCGCCCCGCCCCGCCCCGCCCCCGCCCCCGGGCAGGGGGUCACGGCGUCCGGGGGGCCGCCCAGCCGCCGCCGCGGCCCGGGGCUCGGCGGUCCAGUCUCCUGCCCGCGGCGCGGCUGGAGCGGCGGCGUCGGCAACAGGCAAGCUUAGAGGAAAAGGAGAUGAUCGUGUCACCCGCCCGCCGCCGCCCGCCGCGCCCCCGGCCCCGGCCCCGGCCCCGGCCCCGGCCCCGGCCCGGACCCCGCGCCCGGACCCCGCGCACCCCCGCCCGCGCCCGCGCCCGCCCCCGCCCCCGCCCAGGGCGCGCCCCGCCCGGCCCGGCCCGGCCCGCGGCCCCGGCUCGCCCCCCGCCCCGCCCCGCCCCGCCCCGCCCGGGCCGCGCUCCUCCCCCCCCCCCCGCACCCGCGCCCCCGCCCCGCCCCGCCCCCGCCCCGGGGAUGCCCGGGCCCGAGGGGGGCGGACAGGAGCGCGGCCCGGACCGGGCGGGGGCCGCCCCCACACCCGCGCCGCCCGGGCUCCUCCCCCGGGACCCGCCGCCGCCACUUCCCCCAAUUUUUUCUCUUUUUUUUUCUUCCCGGGCAAACUUUCCCGGGCCGGUCCCGGGGGUCGGCGUGGGAGGGGGCGCCCCGAGCGCGCUCCUCCGCCUGGGAACGGCGCGGUCCCCCCGCGCGCCCCUUCCCGUCCCGUCCCGUCCCCCCGUCCCCGUCCCCGUCCCGGGCCCCGUCCCCCGGCCGCGCCCCCCGCCCCAUCGCGGGCGGCCCCGAGGGCGGGAGGGGGCGGGGGCGGGGGCGGGGGCCGGGGAGGAACUCGGGCCCCGGAGCCCAGCCCCCCCCCCCCCCCCCCCGGCCGCCGCCCCGGGGCGCCCCCGAGACUGGGCCACCGCGCCCGGCGCCCGCUCGCCAGCGGUCCUGGGCGAGAAGAAUUGA
rnacentral:lncRNA from 1 species